GUGAGCCGUGUGAAGGGAAACCUUCCCGCAUGGUUCGGAGAGCACUGAAUUAGAAUGAGAGGUUCACCACCACAUCAUUGCAUGCAAGGGGAGCUCGCUCGAUUCGCAAAUUGGUCCGACUCGUAAUUCACUUAUGACCCCGU
rfam:Picea glauca, whole genome shotgun sequence.